GCAGAUCCUACUUCCUGUGUAUCCACAGCCACCAUCAAGACUGUGCUGCAGGAAGACCCCUCGCUGGAGUGUUGGCAGAUGUUUGCUUCCUGUGUCUCGACUGGCCACUCUCGGGACUACAGUGGGGCACAGAUUUUCAAGUGUAGAGCACAGCUGGUGACCACACAGAGAACAAUGCUAACUGGCUUGCCCGUGAGCUGACCACAUCUUCACUCAUUACCGGAGCCAACCCCGCUGUGACUAAUUUCGAUGAAGAGAAAAAUGACACUCCGUAUAUUCCACAGGUUUCAGCUGGCGACUCUAAAUUGGUUCAGCACCAGUCUUUCUAGUCCCUUCUCGAUAGCAGAAAAUGAUGACUUUUGAGGCCUUUGGGACUCAGCCUGCUUCCUCUAUUCUUCCACGGUUGCUCCCCUCCCUCCUUUGUGAUUUUCUCCCCACAUUCAAGUCUGGCUGUAGAGUGUGAUGCACUCUCCCACCACUACUCCAGAAUGCACAUUAUUUUAAAAGAUUAUUUUAGAGAUUUUCAUAGUAAUCAUCAUUGGAGACUGACCAGAACAACAAAAAUAACAACCAAGGAGAAGUCUCAGAGUUGACAGAGUGAUCCCUAGUCUCUUGGUUCCUGACUUCUUCCAUCAACUGAAAGCUUGAAUGCAGUGGUCCUGCCUUGUCUCAUCUCGGAAGGUAGAUUCCAGCAACCAGACUGUUUCCAAGAUGGCUCUUGGCCAAAUCUGAAGAUACUACCCAGGUUGCAGCAUUAAUGUCUCCUUUAUAUUAAGAGGGAAGUUUCCAUCUCCGAAGCCCUUCUGCUUGGAGGACAUUUGUUCAUUGUUGCUAUGCACAUCCCAGAAUUCGCCUCUUUGGGCAUAUUCUCAUGUGCCUCCUCCCAUUUAUGAAACCUUU